rnacentral:rRNA from 1 species
UACGUAGGGGGGCAAGCGUUGUCCGGAUUUAUUGGGCGUAAAGAGCGUGUAGGCGGCCAGGUAGGUCCGUUGUGAAAACUGGAGGCUUAACCUCCAGCUGUCGAUGGAAACCAUCUGGCUAGAGUCCGGAAGAGGAGAGUGGAAUUCCUGGUGUAGCGGUGAAAAUGCGCAGAUAUCAGGAGGAACACCGAUGGCGAAGGCAGGUCUCUGGGCAUUAACUGACGCUGAGGAGCGAAAGCGUGGGGAGCGAACAGG